UGCGCAGGCGGACCUAUUAGUCAGUGGUGAAAUCCCGGGGCUCAACUCCGGAACUGCCAUUGAUACUGUAGGUCUUGAGUUUGGUUGAAGUGGGCGGAAUGUAGCAUGUAGCGGUGAAAUGCAUAGAUAUGCUACAGAACACCGAUCGCGAAGGCAGCUCACUCAACCAAAACUGACGCUCAGGCACGAAAGCGUGGGUAGCGAACAGGAUUAGAUACCCUGGUAGUCC
rnacentral:rRNA from 1 species